rnacentral:rRNA from 1 species
GUGUGAUGCCGUGCCAUGCGCGGGUGUAAUAGGGGGGAAGCCAAGUUGAUCCGUGAUCAUGGAGUUUGUAUGGUCCGGAUGGUGCUUUGUAAGACAGCUGUGAAAGUUUUUUGUUUAAGCAAAAAAUUGCCAUUGAGAAUGGUGGGCUUGUAAUAUUGUGAAGUUACGAGAAUAUGUGGUGUAGCGGUGAAAUGCUUAGAUAUUACAUGGAAUACCAAUUGGGAAGGCAGGUUACUAACAAUAUAUUGACGCUGAUGGACGAAAGCGUGGGUAGCGAACAGGAUUAGAUACCCCUGAGUC